rnacentral:rRNA from 1 species
CCGCCUGGGGAGUACGGUCGCAAGAUUAAAACUCAAAGGAAUUGACGGGGACCCGCACAAGCGGUGGAUGAUGUGGAUUAAUUCGAUGCAACGCGAAAAACCUUACCUACCCUUGACAUGGAUGGAAUCCCGGAGAGAUCUGGGAGUGCUCGAAAGAGAACCAUCACACAGGUGCUGCAUGGCUGUCGUCAGCUCGUGUCGUGAGAUGUUGGGUUAAGUCCCGCAACGAGCGCAACCCUUGUCAUUAGUUGCUACGCAAGAGCACUCUAAUG